GAGAGUCUUUAAAGCUGAAAGAGAGUAGAAGAGGUCAAAAUCAGAGGGAGAUGUAACCAUAGGAGAACCGUCAGAAAGACGUGACACUGACUAGCUUCAAAGAUCAACGAAUAAAAGAAAAGGACGUUCCACUUUGAUCUUAUGAGAGAAAAGAUUCUCCUUUAUUUUGCAGAGGAAGAGAGAGAAAAAUGAGUCAAAAAUUUUUCACCCAGUGUUUUAUCUUUUCUGGGAACUAGACACUGGAGCCUCUGUGGCCUCAGGGAUACCUUAAAUAAUGACAGCCAGGCUUCAGCAAUAUGUGAACCAUGAACUUCCUGAUGUUCAAGCUGGUUUUAAAAAAGGCAGAGGAACCAGAGACCAAAUUGCCAACAUCCGCUGGAUCAU
ensembl:lncRNA